GACAGAGGGUGCAAACGUUGUUCGGAAUUACUGGGCGUAAAGCGUGUGUAGGCGGUCUGCUAAGUCGGGUGUGAAAGCCCCGGGCUCAACCCGGGAAGUGCACUCGAAACUGGCAGGCUAGAGUAUCGGAGAGGUUGGUGGAAUUCUCGGUGUAGAGGUGAAAUUCGUAGAUAUAGAGAGGAACACCGGUGGCGAAGGCGGCCAACUGGACGAAUACUGACGCUGAGACACGAAAGCGUGGGGAGGAAACAGG
rnacentral:rRNA from 1 species